rnacentral:rRNA from 1 species
AUGAUCGGGCUAGCUCGCGCCGUCGCUGAUGGCGUUGUAGUGUUCCACACCUCGAUUUCUACCGAAGAGAGCACCACCCUAAUUUCAUUUCAUCAACUAUACUUAAUUUCUUGGACACGGGAGUCAGACUCGUGGAGCCGGGCGGUUUUUGAAAUUUGGGAUUGGCCUCUCGAGUCAUUUCAUGAACUAAACUUUAAGUUCUUACACCCAGGGAGUCAGCUGGGCGGUUUGGGAGCCACUUUUAUUGUUGCUGAAACUAUUACUUUUGUGAUGAUAUUAUACUUCCUCCUUUCCAAAAUAUAA